rnacentral:misc_RNA from 1 species
ACAAGUUUCGUUUACGACACAGUAUUGAGAAUGUAGCUUGUUGGUAGGGUAAUGAAGAGUACUGGUGGGAAGGAUAUGAAAGAACAAGCUGGAGAGGAUAAGAAGGUUCUCCUGGAUCCAGUUCCAGUUCUAGAUCUAGGAGAUCUCAGCCAGGAUGAAGGAUACAAGGACGGAGUUAAGAAAACAAAGAGAGCUCGGGUGAAGGGGGAGGAUGACGUGGCAGAUGUAACUAAGCGGAGACGAACCUGGGAGCUUUGGUCAGUCGGAGAUAAACAUAUUUUCUUCGAAGCUCUCAAUGAGUUCGGAAAAGAUUUUGAUAAGAUUCAAGCUCAUUUUCAGAGCAAACUGAAGAAUAAAAAGAAUAUACCUGCAGAUUAUAUUAAGAAUAAAAAUCAAAUCCGACAUUUCUAUUAUAGGAGCUGGCACAAGAUCUCGUCGUACAUCAGCUUCGACGUAGAUCUAAAGAAAAGUACAAAGGAAUUGUUUGGAUUGAUCAACUAUGGAGAACUAUGGAAGAAAGUUGGCGGAACUAUUGAUGAUAAAUUAGGCGCCAAGCUUGAAGAAUUGGUUCAAAAAGGGUUUGCAACUCUCAAGCACAAAGGAAAGACUUUUCGAGUGAAAACUCCUGUUUGUCGAGCUCUGAAAAGGAUUCACAAUAAAGGAGAUAUAUCUGGUAAACAGAAAGGGACUAAGGUUCUCCCCUCCAGGGUUGCAAUAGACCUGAAACCCAGGGAAACCAAGGACUGGUAUAAGGUUCAGAAACUUGCUCAAAAUCCACAUAUCAAGGUUUCACUCCUUCUCCAGAGAAAGGUUUCAUCCCUGAUCAACUGUCUGAUGAAGAAAUGGCGAUCUCGAGAUGAAAAACUCCUGGAAUCUCUGCAAGGGGUCUCCAGUCCUGUUAAAAAUAUGACUGAAUUAAUAUUGUUCCCAGUCAAGGAUGUUAAGAUGAAGAUCCCUGUGAUCACAGCAGCUCCGAUCAUCACCAGCUCUCAGAUCAGUUUACAAAGCAUGAAACCAAACAGUUUUAAUUCAAAUUUCAAACCUAAGAUAAAAUUGAAGUUUUCCGAGGAAGAAACCCUUGUGACGGAAACCAACGGAAACGGCGGGGAAGGAGGAAGCGAAGACGGUUUUACUCAAACUCAAGAUUGUGAUAGAAUAUUUAACCAGUCAGAUAACGGAUCUCAGAAGUUUGUGAUACAGGAAGAGACUGAUGUUGCGGAGGAUUUUUUAUCCCACGACGAUCUACUGGAUUUGUGGGAAGCAGACGGCAGUAGAUCUCCGGGUCCUAACCCAGAUAAAGAGUCCGACGUGGAGAUGGACAACGACAAGGAUGAGGACAGAGACGAGGACAAGGAGUUGGAGGACGAGGAUAAAGACGAACAGGACGAGGAGAAACACCAGACAGUGGAUUCCAAAGAUGACGAAACCAAAAUUUUAAAAACAAACUUUUCCAACCUGAAAUCCUUUGAUCCUUCUCAAGGCUGGAGUUUAAACAAUGUGGAAGACUUGACUGUCGGAGAACUAUAUUUGAUGCUGGGGGACGAGGGAGGGAAUACUUUUCAAUUAGAAUAUCACUGGAGGGAGGUGAAGAAUGAGUCCCUAGAUCCUUGUAUUAAUCAAAAUCUUGGAGCAGAGUGCCAGACCUUGUUGAGCAGGCUGAUCAAGCUAUCUAGCUCCCAACCAAAUAAACCAGGACGGGGGAGACAAAACAGUUUAUCAUCAACAAGUCCAACUGUCAGAAAUAUCUUGUCUCCUGUGUCGUCUCCGAUUACCUCCCGUCAGAGUCCUGGGACUAGGGUGCUCGGGGUGGGAAGGGGUGUGGCUAAACAGUUGCCGCUUAUAUCUGAGCUACCGGAGAAACCUGGUAGUCCUCUGGCAGUUCCUCUGGAACCGGAAAUAGAGUUUAGGAAACCUUUGGCUCCGGCAGUAAAACCUCCCGCCCUAUCCUCAACCUUUCAGAAACAAAUUGGACAAUAUUUCCCCAAGUUUUCAAACCGUCGAGGUCGUCAGAAUCGAAACCGUGCCAAAAACCAGCUCGUAGGUCGUCAAAUCCUUCAACCCGUUCAACCCAAGCAGACACAUCAGAUAGUUCAGCACCUACUCCUUCCCCUCGCCACCAAUACUCUACCUGGAAACAUAAACCCAUUCAUUAUAGAGUCUCCUCUCACCAUUCUUCAGACAACUAACAUGCCCUCCUCCACCCUCAUUAGUGAUCCUGUAUCUCCUGUUCCUCCUUCCUCUCCUCCACAGAUAUGUAUCCCGUCCCCUGCUCUUUCUCCAGCCCGGAGAACUCCGUCCCCAACCCCGUCCUUUUCCUCUCUCAUGGACAUAUCUUUCCCGGAGUCUACUCCGGUUACUCCGUCCAAAGAUCAGUUUAUGUCUCUGAUUGAUGAAGGUUCCUUGUUGCAUACUCCUCCCCGUCCUAGUACUCCGAACCCUAGCUCCCCCUCCAGGUGCCUCACGGACAGUGCCGACCUAUCCCUCACCUCCUGGGCACUCAACUUCGAGUCUCCAGUUAAACUUAGUUCUGGACCUCCUAAUUUACAUAAUGAUGAUUCUCAAGCAUCCACAAUAUCUACCAAUAGCGAGGUUGACCGACAGCUGACAGCAAUGAUGAACGAGAAUUCCCUGGACUUCACUUCGAAGUUUAGGCAGCUCGCUAAACACGUGACCAGCUUCGACUGUAACUAAAUACUUAACCAUCUUCGAAAUUGAUAACGUGACUACUGACCAGCUUUGGCUCCAACUAUACAUGUGACCAGCUUCAAUUGCAACUAAACACGUGACCAGCUUCAGCUGAAACAAGUGAUAAAUUUCGACUUCAGCUAAUUACGUGACCAGCUUCGAUUGUAAAUUAACACGUGACCACCUUCGCCUUCAACUGAACUAAAAAUAUGGACACAGUUAAUACUUCUGGGGGUCUUAAAUUAUGGAAAUCAAAUGACGACAUAAAAUCGUUCUCUGACUUAAACUGUAAAUUAAGAAUAAAUUCUUCACCGUCAGUGUUUUAAAGUAUUUCUGACAAAAUAAUAUUUGCUAAACCUGAAAAAUUUACCAGUAUUUUGUUCCCUAGUAGUCCUUAAACCUUAGUCUUGAAAAUAACAUGAUCCUAGAACGGAAAAACAAAUAAAUUAUUUCACUCAA